rnacentral:rRNA from 1 species
GUAGUUAGCCGAGACUUAUUCCUAGGCUACCGUCCACUCUCGUCACCUAGAAAAGGGCUUUACAGUCCGAAAACCGUCUUCACCCACGCGGCGUCGCUGCAUCAGGCUUGCGCCCAUUGUGCAAUAUUCCUCA